rnacentral:lncRNA from 9 species
UAAGGAGACUGAUUCAUAAGCUUAUGCCCUGAAUUUCAAACAGAUAUUUUCAUCUAUAAUUCUCUCCUGUAAAAUGCUUUCAAUAAUUUAAAGGCUGGAAUGUUUGUUUUUAUGUUACUGGUAAGAAUUAGCUUCCUGCUUCUCUUUUAGGAGAAAACUUAAGGAAGAAUCCUAGCAUUUGAGUGCUCUCCAAGAACAAGUACUACCUCUGUCUCAGCGAACACUGCAUAAUGGUGUUCGGAAAUAAAGCAGACUCCCCUGAAGUUCUGCAUUUCCAGUUACACUGCCUCUUAGAUAACACCCCCCAAACUCCUCUGCCUGUUACAGCACUCACUCGAGGGCUGUGCCUGCGCCAGGAGUGACAGUCUCUGCUGUGCAGAUUUCUUACAGUGCAGCAUGUUUCCCUUUCCCGAUUCCCAUCACCUCAAUACCAGGGGCAUCCUCCAGGCACUGUAACAGCUCAACAUGCGUCCAGCCAUUUCCAUACCCCCAGUUAAGAACCUGUGAUAAACCGUAAGCCUCUGAGGUUUCUUGUUGUUUUUCUGUAACAUUCUCCUCCCAGUCUGGCUUAAUUCUCUGUUUGCUUAUAAUCUGCUGAAUAGAUUAUCCUCGGAUUAGCCUCCUGAAGCACAUCUCUAAUCAAGAUGCCCACAAGGCUCUCUGGUGCCUAAGAGACACUGAGUUAAAACAGGCCCUUGUUAUCUUCAACGUCAUUUAAUUCAACAUUCUAUUUUUAGUCCUACAGUAUUUUAGUAAAAGAAUCAAUUUCUGGUAAUGGAAAAAUAUUGUAUUUUGAUUUGAAAAAAAAAAACAAAACAUACUUAUAUAAUAGCAAUGUGUUCUGGCCUCAAAGCCAUCCUGUACCGAGACCUCUAAAGCAGGCAUGCUGAUGAAGCUUUCCUUUUCCUGCCCUCAUAUUUGCCAAGUCACAUUUCUGUAAAUACAGUUUGGUAUCCAUUACCUUCUAUUAUGAGAUCGUCUCACAUAAAACUGUGCCAUAAGUAUCAUCGACCGAACACACUAUGUGUGUACCCCCCAUUCCCUGGGUACACACAGCUCUGCACUUGCACAUGUGCACACAUAAAUGACAAAAUAAUUCUAUGUCUGCAUCUAAUUCUCAGUACUGUUUCAGACGCCAAACACUUAUCUUUAAACCACAUAAGUUAUAGAUAUACAUGUUCUAUACAUACACACAUACAUAUUCCAUCCAACUUUAUGUUUCAUAAACUCUUCACAUAAAAAUUCAUUUAGUAAAUGGAAUGAAAUUAGUGCGACUGACAGAAAACAACGUGUUGAAGUCAGGAACUAUACCAUGAGGACUUUAUUGCCUUUCUAAAUAUUUUGGAAACAGUACAACUGGCCCAUGCAUCAUGUUUUCUUGGUGCAUGCGUAAUCAUUUCUCCUCCAACUUCCAAUUAAAAAUUCAUGGGGAUGAGCAUCAAGCAGAGCACAAUGGACCUGAGUCAGUGUGAUGUGGUGGCAAAACACUGAGGUCUUGAAAUUCAAAGCUGUGGUCUCCUGCCCCCUCUACUCAUGCUCCUCCUUGUGUGACUGAGUAAUAAUGAUGCGUCUCCUGCCCCCUCUACUCAUGCUCCUCCUUGUGUGACUGAGUAAUAAUGAUGCGUCUCCUGCCUCCUCUACUCAUGCUCCUCCUUGUGUGACUGAGUAAUAAUGAUGCGUCUCCUGCCUCCUCUACUCAUGCUCCUCCUUGUGUGACUGAGUAAUAAUGACUGGGACAAGCGCCAUCCUAGAAAGAUAAGGAGCCAAAACGUCCUGGUCAAAAACAAGAACCUUAAAUCUGAAUGUGUCCACCAUUCCCCGUGCCCAUCCUAGGAGCUUACAUACUGCAUUCUUCCAAAUACUACUUCUUGGAUUCGAAGAUAUGAAAUGAUGUAAUGAUGGGCAGUAAAAUGUAAAUUACGUGGUUGUCGUGGGGGGUGGUCCUCCUUUGAUGAGACAUCCUGAGUUCAAAGACGGUACGCAAAGGAGGGGUGCUGUUGAGAGUGAGAGUUCAGUGAAGGCUGUAUUAGCUCUGGCUACGUCCUCAGCGGUAAACAAAGUGUCCGCUUUAUGCAGAGGCCACAGGGGUUCACUUCUCAGAGAUGCUGUGCUGCUGGGUGCUCUGUCAGUGGGACAGUGCUUACACGUGCCAGUGUCUGUAGCUUCACCAUCAAAAUAGGGCCCAACGGUGUGGGAAGCCUUCUUAAUUAACCAUCCCCUGGGGUUUCGUAGUGAUUAAUCCCAAAAAACAGGGGAAAUAAUUUUAUAAAUGAUAAACAUGAUUGUUUGCUUAUCACUUCUAACACCUUGCACAGAAAGAAUGAGUUUCGGAAUGAACUCCAUCACAUCAAAAAUCCAAUCCUUCCUCAAGAAUAGUUUCUCUGAAUCAUUAAAAAUGUGAGCCUGUUUACCCCUCCUCAGUCUCUCCCACUUCUCUCCCACUAAUGCUGCCAUAUCUACAUCUGUUCCAAACUUUCACCAUGACGUCACCUGUUCCGCAACAUUUUUGUUUCUUUUGGUUUUCUCUUUUUAGGGCCACAACUGUGGCAGAGGGAAGUUCCCAGGCUAGGGGGCAAGUGGAGCUGCAGCUGCUGGCCUACACCACAGCCACAACAAUGCCAGAUCUGAGCCGCAUCUACGACCUACACC